rnacentral:misc_RNA from 1 species
ACAUUGUUUUAGACCGUUGCAAAAGAUGCUUCAGAAUUACAGCAAAUUCCUUUCAAAUAAUACAACAAACGAUAACCAUAGGUUUUCAUUUGAAAAGCAAGAUUUAUUUGUUUUGGUUGUUGCAGUUUUUGUUUUAUUUGUCAUUUGUGCUCCUUUGAUAAUAUUCUUAUCGGCAAUGGUUAUUGGAAAGUAUCUUAUGACUUCUCAACAAAGAAAUAAGAAUGAUAAUAUAAACAAUUUAGACUGGAAAUUACUUCAAUACUCUCGAGAGACAGAUAUUUAACAAACUAUGAAGAUGAAAAGGAAUAGUUAGAUAUUAACAAUUUUCUUUCUUUUUUUGCCAAUUAAUAGCCUUGAAACGAAGAUUUUAAUUGAUUAUCUCACAAAAAAAUGAUGAAUGUAAGAUGCUUCUCUUUUCAUUCAAUAACUUAUGAGGUAGACACAUUUUCUUUUAGAAUAAAGGAUACAUUCUUAAAAUAUCUUAAUAGUUUAUUAAAAUACUUUAUAUCAAUAUAAAAUAAAAAGUUAAAAAAUAGCCAAACGACCUUAAAAGAUUCUACCACUUUCUUAAUAUACAAUUACAAGGCCUAUUUUAUGGAAAAGUCUCCUUAUGGAACAAGAUAUUUAUUAAUAACUAAUAGGGAGGAAACAUUUCUCAUUUAAUUAUUAUUACCGAACGGUACGAGGUAUUAAAUUGUGAAAUAACAUUUAAUCAAAGCGUAUGUAAAACGAUAUGACAUUGUCUUUUGUACGACUUUUAACUAUUCUAAAUUGUAUAUGUUUUAUUUUUGCUUAUAGGAGCUAAAAGCUAACCAACAGUGCAAUAUUUUUUCCUUCUUUUACUAUGAAAUCGAUCAAUGACACCAAACUAGUAGGCCUAUUAAAAUCUAGGCUAAAACAUAAUUAGUUAUUGUAAAAUACUUGCGCAAUACAUACAAUAUGUAUAUAGUGUGUUUGUUAGCAGUUGUUUCUGUACCUUUUAUUUUUACGUUGAGAAGAAAAACAUUAGAUUAUAGGUUAAAUAAAGUUAAUAUAAUUAUUUAUUAAACGAUAUUAUUUAUAUUAACACAGAAAUAGAUGUUGUAUAUUUCGUGUUUAUUAUUGUUUUUGUUGAAAAUAACAACUUAUUUAAAAAGAUAUCAAAGAUAUUUAAAAAAAAAAAAGACAAAGAGAGAAUCUUAAAAAUUUUAUACCUAGUUAUGAGACUUAUUAUCUACUAACGGCGGUAUCCAAACCUAAAAAUUGCUUCAUAACCUCAUAUGUUGAAAACGAUACUGCAACCAUUGGUGCUGCUUUCAUAUAGUUAACAGUUAAUCCCCUAUAUAGUCCAUUAACAACUCCGUAUUUUAUAUAAACGUAUUUUAAUGUACUUGAACAACUUCGGAAGAGAUACUGCUGUUCCGGUGGGUACAUUAUGGCCAAUUGCAUUUUUCUCCUAACAACGUCCAAAGGAUAUGACACCGUUUGAGCAAAAGCACCUGAAAUAGCUCCGCACAUUAGCUUUGCUGGAAUAGAUAAGACUUUACUAUUUUCCUUAUUUGGAUUAUCAGAUCCAAAUAUUUCAGGCGCAUUUGUUAAUAGUUGAACUUUUAGAGUUUCAAAACAAUAAAAUGACAAUCCAGCAUAUGGAACCAUACCAAAGAUAGUUGCCGUUAUCCCUCUAUAGAAUCCUCUUAUGCCAGAGUCUUCAGUAAUCAUACAGGAUAGAGCAUGAAUAAUUCCUUUAUAUAUUCUUGUAUCACUUCCUUGAAAAGCAAGUCUAGCUCGAAUAAUAUCAAGUGGAUAAGUGAACAACACAGCAGUUAAGCCUGCCAAAGCCCCAGGAACUAAUCUGGAUAUGUGACCUGGUCCAAAAGUGUUUAAAGCUAACGGUUUAUAAAAUUCAUAGCUUGUAAAUUGUAUUGCGGCAUAAGGAAAGAUUCUUAUCAUUUGUGCACUAUUGCCUUUAAAAAGUCCUUGGAAUCCUUCUCUCUUUUGAAUGGCUAUGAUUGCUGAAAGUACGCCUAAAUGUUUGUAGUGUUGAUGAUGAGCUUGUAAGAGUAUUUUAACUCUAUCAAAUGGUGCAACAGUUGUCUUUGCAACGCAUCCGGCUACUCCUAAAAAACGAAGGGAGAUUUAUUCCAUAUAUAAAUAUAGAUUAUUAUUAAUAUUUCAAGUUAAAAUGUCAUAUGUUUCAAUAUCAGCACAAAUUGCGUAAUUCGCCAAUAAAAUUUUAAGAUAACUUAUGAAAUUGGAUAGAAAAGAUAUACAAUUUGUUCAAAAUUUGUGAUCAUAAACAAAGAAUAAUAUUUAGCGAUAGUUAAAUCUUAUUAUACAAAAAGACUCUCACUUAUGAUAAAUAUUAGAUAAUAUUUGAUAGUUCAUUAAACUCUAGUUCUUUUAUUAGCAAUAAACAGGUGUAAAGUUUUAGACUAAAAUGGAAAUAGACUAUUAUUUUAUAACAUUUGAUAAAUGAUCAAAUAUUACUAAUAUCUUACCUCCAGCUAUAAAGGUCUUUACAUUCUCUCUGCUCGAUUUUUUCAUUUUUACAUCCAGUUUCUUCCAUUUCUGGAGUGAAGGUCAAUAUGUAAAAUGGAAACCGGUAUGAAAAGGAAUGUUUUACCAAACAUUUAUAAGAAAAUGUUAUUUUCUUUUUUAUCAACUUAAUAUAUGACGAUUGCCUUUACAUAUUUUAAUAUUUAGUUUAUUACUAUAUGAAAACUGACAUAUAUACGAAAGGAGCGUUAAAUUUAGUUUAAAUAUUAUUAAAAUAAAGUGAUUUAGAACAAAUUGCGAUGCUAUUUUGUAAGCCUAUAUUUUCAAACUUUUUUCUCAUUAAUUUUCUUGCUUUAUUUGUGGAGAGAAUCGAAAAUAAGCCAAAUAAUGUUGUUAUUAUUUUAGCGGAUGAUGGUGGCUUUGAAAUUGGUGCUUAUGGCAAUAAAAUUAUUAAAACACCCAAUUUGGAUAAUCUUGCAAAACGCAGUAAACUUUUUACAUCAGCAUUUACUUCUGUAUCUUCCUGUUCACCUUCAAGAGCAUCCUUGUUAACCGGCCUACCACAGCAUACUAACGGAAUGUAUGGUUUACAUCAAGGAGUUCACAAUUUUAAUUCUUUGAAUAGCAUAGAAUCAAUAUCCAAGGUUGUUAAACAACAUGGAAUCCGAACUGGUAUUAUAGGCAAGAAACACGUCGGUCCUGAACUUGUUUAUCCAUUUGAUUUUUCCGAAACUGAAGAAAAUAAUCCUAUAAAUCAAGUUGGAAGAAAUAUUACAAAUAUCAAACUACUUGUAAGGAAAUUCCUUAAAGAAUCGGCAAAUUCCAGUUUUUUUCUUCUAGUAUCCUUUCACGAUCCGCAUAGAUGCGGACAUAUAACACCGCAAUUUGGUCCUUUUUGCGAAAAAUGGGGUAUUGAUGGAAUUCCCGAUUGGAAUCCAAUAAAGUACGAUCCUAGAGACGUUAUCCUCCCUGAUUUUGUACCAAACACUCAAUCAGCCAGAGAGGAUGUUGCUGCCCAAUAUCAAACAAUUUCCAGGCUAGAUCAGGGGGUUGGACUGGUUAUGAAAGAGCUAGAGCAUUAUCUUGAAGAUACUCUUGUUUUCUAUACUUCUGAUAAUGGAAUACCCUUCCCAAGAGGACGUACUAAUUUAUAUGAGUCUGGUUCAAAAGUUCCCCUUCUAGUCAGUUCUCCUAAAUCCACGGAAAGUUGGGGAACUAAAACAAAUGACCUUGUAAGUUUAUUGGACAUUGCACCAACUAUUUACGAAUGGUUUAGAAUUCCAUCUCCUGUCAUUCACAGAAAUCCGCAUAAAAAACUUUCUUUACCAGGACAGUCUAUACUUCCAAUAAUAGAUGACGUAAUCGGACAAACUAGGGACUAUGUCUACUUGAGUCACAAUCUUCACGAAGUAACUAUGAAUUAUCCUAUGAGAGCGAUAAGAAGUAAUCAUUAUAAGCUAAUUCAUAAUUUGGCGUCGAACAGUCCAUUUGGUGUGGAUCAAGAUCUAUACGUUUCUCCAACGUGGAUGGAUAUGAUGAAAAGGAUAAGGAAAAAGGAAAAUUUGAACUGGUUUAUUACGCUUAAGCAAUACUAUUAUAGAAGUGAAUUUGAAUUGUAUGACCUAAUAGUUGAUCCAUUAGAAAAAAACAAUUUAGCAUCCAAACCCGUCUAUGACGAAAUCUUGUACAAUUUAAAAGAGCAACUUCUUAAAUGGCAAAGCAAAACUGAAGAUCCAUGGAUUUGUUCUCCACACGCCGUUCUUGAAGAUAAAGGAUCUUAUAAAUAUUCUCCACAAUGUUUGCCCCUACACGACGAUUUAUAAUUAAACGAACAGACAUAUUUUUCUUACAAAUUACUUAAAGAUUUGUUUAUUCAUUUAAAGCUUUUUACUUAAAUUUCAAAUUAAUAAAAAAUGGUUAAAAAAAAAGUGUUAAUGAUUAACA